AUGCAAAAAAGUCAGUUAUAUAAAGAAGAAUUUGUAAAUAAAAAAAUAAAAGAAGAAAAAAAUGACACAACUACAUCCUCAACCCCGACUGAAGAACAUGGUAAAACAGAAGAGAAAAAUAUAAAUUAUACAGGAGAAGGUUUAAAUGUAACUGAUAUAACAAAUACUAAUAAUGUAAUCAAUGAUAAUUAUUCUAAUGGAGUGAAUGUUACUGAUUUGUUUAAUGGUAUGGGUAUUGGUACUGUAAAUGAAAAUUCACUUAAUUCGUUGUUGAAUUUUAAUAAUAACGACGUGAAUAAUGGCGGAGUGAACAAAAAUGAUAAAUGUAGUAGUAAUAACAAUAAUGGUAAUAACGACAAUGGUAAUAACGACAAUGGUAAUAACGACAAUAGUGACAGCGAUAAUGGAAUAAAACAUUUGGAGGAAAUUAAUUUAGAUCGUGUUUUAAAUAGAAUGAAAAAAAUUGCUAAUAGUAAAAAAGUUUAUAUAAAAAAAGAAGAUAUAGAAAGUGAAGAUGAACAGGAAGAAGAAGAAGAAGAAGAAGAAGAGGGAGAAGAGGGAGAGGAAGAGGAAGAGGAAGAGGGAGAAGAGCAGGAGGAUGACAAAGAUGAUAAAGAUGGUGACGAAGGUGAUGAUGGUUAUACUAAGGUUAAUGAAAAUGUUGACAAAAACGAAAGAGAUGAAAAAGAACAAAAUAAAGAGAACUUUAAUGGUAGAAAUAACUACGGUAACAAAUGUAGAGAUUAUUUAUUCGAUUUACAUUCAAAUAAUUGUUCAUCAAUUUUGUUAAACGAAAGUUCAGACAAUAAAACAUUUAAUUUAUUUUAUAAAGAAGAAGACAAUACAAAUAUUCCAUUAAACAAAUGGGUUGAAUGUUUAGAGAAUUGUACUUUUGUUGAUAUAUGUUUUUUUAAUUAUAUUAAAGACAUUAUGAAAUUAUAUAUUCGUAAUAUUAAUAAAAAUAAAGAAAAAAAUAUUUUAGGAUUUACAACUUUAGAAAUUAUACAAUUAAUUAAAACUUUAAUUAAAACAAAAUCCAAAAAUAUACUUGCUGAAAUUAUUGAUGAAGGUUUUUUUGAUAUAUCUAUUGAUAUUUUUUUUAAAUAUAAAUGGAAUAAUUUAUUACAUAUAUCUGUUUGUGAUUUAUUACAAACUAUUAUAUUUAAAGAAAAUGAAUAUUCUUAUUUAUUAUAUUAUAUACUAGCAUUAACAACAUUUUUACCAAAAUGUUUACGUUAUUUUGAUGCUGUAAGACGAUGUAGAAAUAUAAAAAAUAAAAAAAAAAAAAAAAAAAUUACAAAGUUUAAUUGA
ensembl:lncRNA